CACACAGAGAGAGAGAGAGAGAGAGAGAGAGAGAGAACCUUUAUACAUAAAGAUCUUUAGAAAGAUCUCUCCUAGUCUUGAUGUUGGACUGAUUACAUGACACCUCACAUGUUUAUUCACAAGGCAUUUAUCGAGAAGACAUUCUGUCCAGACAGCAUGCUAGUUACCAUUAAAAAACAAAAAAGACUCUCAGCCUCUGUUGAAGAACAACUUGUAAAUAGUUAAAUACUGUGCCAAGUGAUCAACUAUAUAAAUUCACAUAUUUUGGAGAAAUUAUUGCACAUGUUCAACCUUCUGCAAGGGUCCUGGCUAGAGUGUGGUUGCUUAACAUACCCUACAACAGUUAAGCUUUUGUAACAUUAGUAAGUUCUAUAGUAUAUUAUUUUACCUUUUCUUUUUUUAGGACAAGGUCUAGUGUAUCACAGGCUGGCCUCAAACAACUGAGGAUAACCUAGAACUUCAUUUGUUUGUUUGUUUUGAGACAGGAUCUCUCCAGUAGCCCUGGCUGUUCUGAAACUCACUAUGUAGGCCAGAGAUCCGCCUGCCUCUGCUUCCCAAGUGCUGGGAUCAAAGGUGUGCGCCACAGUGCCCAGCCACCUAGAACUUCCUGGUCCUACUGCUUCAGCCUCCUGAGUGCUAAGACGGCAGGUGCGCUCCAGCACACCCAGUUCCAGCAUUGCUGAGGAUCAAACCUCAUACUGGGCGGAUCCUGGUAUACCAGAGCAGAACCUCUUUCAGUGUUGGUUGUGUCUUACACUGGAGGAGCCCAGGAAUGAGAUAUUCUUGGGCUCUCUUUCUUCGCCCCAGCAUUCAACCGCUUCAGUGCAAAAACGCUUGACUCUUUGUUUCCUGGGACACACUUAACCUCAAUGAAGAUUUGAUGGACAGAUCCUUUCUGGUGACUUUUGGGAUUUUUUCUUUCUUUCUCAAUGUGCAAGUUAGACAAGUGAAAGGAGCAGAAAGUUGCCUGCUUUGGUGAAUAACUUGAUUCUUAGAACAUGGGCCCUCGCUUAAAGGUAAGUAAGUAUCAUGAAGUGCACUGUCAGAAACAUAGGCGUGUACCUCUCUGCAAUGUCUGUUGAUCGGAGAACAGUACAUUCACGUUGUAUAGUGGUAAUACUGUGGCGGCAAGUAUUUCCACUUUCCUAGCUCACCAAGACAAAUACAGGUACUCUCACUCUAAUCCCAAUUACUAAUAUUUACUGUCAUAGAGUAAACACUCUGUAUCUAUAGAUCUAAAUAUAUCGAUAUUAUAUAUUGUGUAUAUAAUAUAUAUUGAAUAUAUACCCAUGCACACACAUUUUCAUCCAGUUGAAGGUUAAAUGAGCUGACUUGAUUCAAAGUGUUUCAGAGAGGCCUGGGAAAAAGAACCUGGGCAGCUGAUAGGAGUAAAAUGUGAAUAUGCUGGACACUGCUACUACUGCUGCCACCAUAAAGUCAGACUGCAGGAUCAGAGCUGAGAUUAGCUUCACAAGGAAGUGCAGACCAGAGAGGCAAAGAGUGGGACAAGAUCCAGAUGAAUGGACAGAGAGAGAUGAAGAAAUGGCAAGACAGGUGGCAGUUUGAGUAAGCUGUGUCAAUAGUAGGAAGCGAGCAGAGCUGAAACCAUUGUGAAACACACACGCACGCACGCGCAC
ensembl:lncRNA